ensembl:snRNA U6 U6 spliceosomal RNA
GAGGUUCGGCAGCACAUAUACUAAAAUUGGAACGAUACAGAGAAGAUUAGCAUGGCCCCUGCGCAAGAGGUUAACUUCUAUCAUUCAAGACAAAUGCAAGAAGACU